rnacentral:rRNA from 1 species
CCUACGGGAGGCAGCAGUAGGGAAUAUUGCACAAUGGGGGAAACUCUGAUGCAGCAACGCCGCGUGGAGGAAGAAGGAUUUCGGAUUGUAAAGCUCUAUCGUCAGAGAAGAUAGUGACGGUACCUAACGAAUAAGCACCGGCUAAAUACGUGCCAGCAGCCGCGGUAAUACGUAGGGUGCAAGCGUUAUCCGGAUUUACUGGGCGUAAAGGGCGAGUAGGUGGGAGAGCAAGUCAGAUGUGAAAUCCCAAAGCUUAACCAUAGGACUGCAUUUGAAACUGUUCUGCUAGAGUGUGGGAGAGGUAAGUGGAAUUCUUAGUGUAGCGGUGAAAUGCGUAGAGAUCAGGAGGAAUACUCGUUGCGAAGGCGACCUGCUGGAACGUAACUGACACUGAUGCGCGAAAGCGUGGGGAGCAAACAGGAUUAGAUACCCUGGUAGUC